rnacentral:rRNA from 1 species
UGGGGAAUUUUGGACAAUGGGCGAAAGCCUGAUCCAGCAAUGCCGCGUGUGUGAAGAAGGCCUUCGGGUUGUAAAGCACUUUUGUCCGGAAAGAAAUCCUUGGCUCUAAUACAGUCGGGGGAUGACGGUACCGGAAGAAUAAGCACCGGCUAACUACGUGCCAGCAGCCGCGGUAAUACGUAGGGUGCAAGCGUUAAUCGGAAUUACUGGGCGUAAAGCGUGCGCAGGCGGUUUGCUAAGACCGAUGUGAAAUCCCCGGGCUCAACCUGGGAACUGCAUUGGUGACUGGCAGGCUAGAGUAUGGCAGAGGGGGGUAGAAUUCCACGUGUAGCAGUGAAAUGCGUAGAGAUGUGGAGGAAUACCGAUGGCGAAGGCAGCCCCCUGGGCCAAUACUGACGCUCAUGCACGAAAAGCGUGGGGAGCAAAACAGGAUUAGAUACCCUGGUAGUCCACGCCCUAAACGAUGUCAACUAGUUGUUGGGGAUUCAUUUCCUUAGUAACUAGCUAACGCGUGAAGUUGACCGCCUGGGGGAGUAGGUCGCAAGAUUAAAACUUAAAGGAAUUG